rnacentral:misc_RNA from 1 species
GACAAGGGAUUUCAUUAUUGAUAUAAAAAUACAGGGGCCAAAGCCCAAAUAUAUGGCCAGAAAACAUGUGUCUUCAGGUAAACAACAAUUAAAGCCCAACCAACAAAUUGAUUCCCAAUCCAUGACAAAAGAGAAAUCUAGUUCACCGGCCAAGCGAGAACACAGGAGGGAAGCAAUUGCAAGACUCGUCGUCGUUGCCCCUGAGAGUAAUCACCGGCUAAUCUGAAGAUUUCGAGAAAGGCAAAGGUCCUUGCGAGGAGAGCUUGUUCACAUAAACCACAAAAACAAUAAUCACAAUGACUAAUGGUGAACCCAAGUCGUGCUCUAUCACCUAGCAAUGUAAGCCAUGGAAGUACAAGGAAGGCAAAGCACUAAUAACAUUAAUGAAAAAUGGUUUUUUUUUUUUUAUCCCCCAACCCUAAGCACAUUUUUUUUAUUGUUGUUAAUAAAAACUCAAAUAAAAAUGUUUGUGAAACAAUACUAAUUGCAUACAAUAAAAUCAUUUUGUGAAACAUUACACCUCUUAAAGAACAAAAGGCAAGGAAUAACACUGAUUAUCAAACCAAAUGAAAUUAUAAUAUGCUUUACACACACCAAAACCCCAAUUAUAUAACUGUUACCAAUCCUCUAGAGAAUGAGAAAACUAUGUGAGGUCAUUCUCAUCCAAUGGCUCUUCUUCUUCAGCAGCAUCAGUUUUAAAUGCGCUAAGAUCUCCAGUAGGAAGUUUUCUUGCAAGCCUAAUAACCUGCAUCCAAAUUAGUUCAAAUCAAACAAAUGCAAUUAAAUCACUCCCAAGUAAAUGUUUAACAGUGGUAAUUUAUCAUCAUCAGAUGGCAUCCGAAUACCUAUAAAUGCUGUCUGAUCUAGGGCAAGUCAGACACAUUAUAAGCAAGACACCAAUGGUUACAAGUUAAUAAGUUGUGGUGAAGUCCAUAACAGCAUUAACUAAAAGGGAACUUUGAAUUGUUUUGAUUUCCCCUGCGAGAAACAAGUUAUGAAGUGAAACAAAUCAUGAGGUAUUAGGUAGCGUGUGCAGCUGCAAGUUUCCCCAAUCAUAUCAAAUACAGCCAAGGGAGUAAGGGCAUUUUCUCAUAUUGUCCAGAGAUUUUUUUCCAGGGAUUGAAGUCGUCUGGUCCCUGAAGGAAGUUUUCUCUAUAUGUAGUAUGUAUUAUGGGACAUUACAUUAUGAAUUCUCAGAUAAAGGACAAGAAAAUAAGUCUUUGAAUACUCCCAAUGAAGAGAAACACCAGUUAGAUUAUAUAAAUGGUCAACUUCAUGACCAACGUGGGUUCCAAUGUCCAGCAGUCUGCUUUAUUUGUGGAUACAUGGUCACGCACAAACAUAUGUAUCAACACAUAUAUGCAUGCAAUGAUUGUAAGGUGGCAAAAAUAACGUGGCAUGCAGCAUAGAUUGCUAUCAAAAUUAUACAUAGAAGAAACAUGAAUAUUGCUUGACUAGGAAGGAAGAAUAAAAUAAACUUGUACCAUUGUGGUUCAGAAGCUAUUGACCUAAAAAUAGCUAGCUGGAGUUCACUUGCUAUAGAAGUAUACCAGUUUUGAUUUUAGCUUCUGUUGCACGAAAUGAUAGUCUAUUUAAUAUAUGUUUGUCUGGUUAUAGUAUCUAUGGUUGACUGUGAGCAAUAAAGGUGUGCACGGCUCAUGGGGAUCCCAAACCGAACUUAUUUUACUGUUUUAGUUUAGCUCUGAUUCUUUACUAAGCACUAAUACCGAACCAAGAACCAAUUUUUUACAUAUGUUUUUCUAUGAUCGUCUUAGAUGGACAUUUUCAAUAUAAUUAUGGACUAUAUACAACUUAAUAUUAUUUUUCAUUUCUCACCUUUCGCACACACCUCCACACAGUCCUCGCAAUUGUAUCAGCACACCUGCAAGAAACCUCGCGGGCAACCAUGACGCCUGGCUCUUGCUGCUGUGGGUUGUGGAAUAGGAAGAGAAACGCUAAUCGCCAUCCCGCUGCAGAGAACAUAGAAGAAAGUGCUAUUUCAAUUGAAGCAGCUGCCAGAACAGAAAAAGAGAACGCAGAGGAAAGUGCUAUUCUAAUUGAGGCGGCUGUGAACACAAAAAAAGGUAUUUUUGUAUGAGGAUAACAAAAGUAUCUUACAAAAUUUCAUCUUGCAUGCAUAUGAAUGAGGAAAAAAAUGUGUGGAAUUUAUGUUUGUUAAUCAAUCCCAAAUCACAACAACAGUAUAAAAAGAGGGAAAGAGGAAGAAAUGUCCAAGAGCAAAGGGUGUGAAGUAAGAGUGGGGAAAAAAAAGAAUAAAUAAAAUAGUUUAAAAAAUGGGGGAAAAGUUCAGGCGAAGUUGGAAGAGCUCUGUCAUUGAGGAGACCAAUUGAUGGUGCGAAGCUGAUCUUCAUCAGAGCUAAAGAAAGUGAGGGUGAGAGAAGAAGAGCAGCUAAGAGGGUGAGAGAAAAUUGUGAGGAAAUAAAAUAAAAAAUAAAAAACUAUUGAAAGAUGUAAUUAACAAGAAAAGUAGUUAAUAAUAUUAAUUAUGUUGAAAAUGAUAUGUUUAUAGUUGAUUAAUAAAACAAUUAAUCCAGGUGUUCGCACGUUUUCUUUCGAUGAACUAGCAAAUGCAACAGGUAGUUUCUCCGGUGAAAAUAAAAUUGGCAGUGGUACUUUUGGUGAAGUUUUCAAAGGAAAACUUGGGAAUGAAACCGUUGCCAUUAAGAAGCUUAGAUCUCAGAAUAAAAAGGAGGAAGAGGAAUUUGCAAGAAGUCAAUUUAAGAAGGAGGCUGAAAUCCUUAGCGGUAUCGAUCCUCACAAAAAUAUUGUCAAGGUGCUAGGAUACUGCAGUGAUAAAGCCAAUAGAUUGCUUGUUUAUGAGUAUUUAGCCAAGAACUCAUUGUCUCCAUUUCAUGGAAAUUACAUUGCAACUUCCGAAUGGUCAACCAGAAUGAAAGUUGCCGAGGGUUUAGCAAAAGGAUUAGCAUAUUUACAU